rnacentral:lncRNA from 1 species
CCUUGAGGGCUGUCAAGCACCAGAUUAACAGUCACCCCCAUGGGAAGCAUCAGAAUCAGAGGUUCCUGCAACUUAUUCUUUCAUCUUUCCAUGCCCCUUGGCAAUCAUUAUUCUACCUGACCGUUUGAUCUUUUUUUUUUCUUUUCAGUUCAGGCGUUUCUUGUAUUGCUUAUUUCUUUUCUUUUCUUUCUUUCUUUCUUUUUUUUUUUUUUUUUUUUACAGGACCAACCUCGAUUCCUCUUUCAUUCACAACAUGUCUCGGCAGCUUGCCGGACAGCACCCCAUAAGUGCACUGAUUCGAACUCAAUAGUAUGAGUUAUCUCAAC